GGGGGAUAACUACGGGAAACUGUAGCUAAUACCGCGUAGUAUCGAGAGAUGAAAGACUGGGACCGCAAGGCCAGUUGCCAUAAGAUGAGCCCAAGUGGGAUUAGGUAGUUGGUGGGGUAAAGGCCUACCAAGCCGACGAUCUCUAGCUGGUCUGAGAGGAUGACCAGCCACACUGGAACUGAGACACGGUCCAGACUCCUACGGGAGGCAGCAGUGGGGAAUAUUGCACAAUGGGGGGAACCCUGAUGCAGCCAUGCCGCGUGAAUGAAGAAGGCCUUCGGGUUGUAAAGUUCUUUCGGUGAUGAGGAAGGCAGGUAAGUUAAUAGCUUACUUGAUUGACGUUAGUCACAGAAGAAGCACCGGCUAACUCCGUGCCAGCAGCCGCGGUAAUACGGAGGGUGCGAGCGUUAAUCGGAAUGACUGGGCGUAAAGGGCACGCAGGCGGUGACUUAAGUGAGAUGUGAAAGCCCCGAGCUUAACUUGGGAAUUGCAUUUCAUACUGGGUCGCUAGAG
rnacentral:rRNA from 1 species